UACGAAGGGGGCUAGCGUUGCUCGGAAUCACUGGGCGUAAAGCGCACGUAGGCGGAUUGUUAAGUCAGGGGUGAAAUCCUGGAGCUCAACUCCAGAACUGCCUAUGAUACUGGCGAUCUUGAGUCCGGGAGAGGUGAGUGGAACUGCGAGUGUAGAGGUGAAAUUCGUAGAUAUUCGCAAGAACACCAGUGGCGAAGGCGGCUCACUGGCCCGGAACUGACGCUGAGACGCGAAAGCGUGGGGAGCAAACAGG
rnacentral:rRNA from 1 species